rnacentral:lncRNA from 1 species
ACAUGACGCUGGAAGAGCUCGUGGCGUGCGACAACGCGGCGCAGAAGUAAGUAGCCGGGGCUGCCGCCGCCUGAGAUGCAGACGGUGACCGCCGCGGUGGAGGAGCUUUUGGUGGCCGCUCAGCGCCAGGAUCGCCUCACAGUGGGGGUGUACGAGUCGGCCAAGUUGAUGAAUGUGACCCAGACAGCGUGGUCCUCUGCCUCUUGGCCAUUGACGAGGAGGAGGAGGAUGACAUCGCCCUGCAAAUCCACUUCACGCUCAUCCAGUCCUUCU